GACGAACGCUGGCGGCGUGCUUAACACAUGCAAGUCGAACGGAAAGGCCCUGCUUUUGUGGGGUGCUCGAGUGGCGAACGGGUGAGUAACACGUGAGUAACCUGCCCUUGACUUUGGGAUAACUUCAGGAAACUGGGGCUAAUACCGGAUAGGAGCUCCUGCUGCAUGGUGGGGGUUGGAAAGUUUCGGCGGUUGGGGAUGGACUCGCGGCUUAUCAGCUUGUUGGUGGGGUAGUGGCUUACCAAGGCUUUGACGGGUAGCCGGCCUGAGAGGGUGACCGGCCACAUAGGGACUGAGAUACGGCCCAGACGCCUACGGGAGGCAGCAGUGGGGAAUAUUGCACGAUGGGCGGAAGCCUGAUGCAGCAACGCCGCGUGCGGGAGGACGGCCUUCGGGUUGUAAACCGCUUUCGCCUGUGACGAAGCGUGAGUGACGGUAAUGGGUAAAGAAGCACCGGCUAACUACGU
rnacentral:rRNA from 1 species